AGCGAACGCUGGCGGCAGGCCUAACACAUGCAAGUCGAACGAACUCUUCGGAGUUAGUGGCGGACGGGUGAGUAACACGUGGGAACGUGCCUUUAGGUUCGGAAUAACUCAGGGAAACUUGUGCUAAUACCGAAUGUGCCCUUCGGGGGAAAGAUUUAUCGCAUUUAGAGCGGCCCGCGUCUGAUUAGCUAGUUGGUGAGGUAAAGGCUCACCAAGGCGACGAUCAGUAGCUGGUCUGAGAGGAUGAUCAGCCACAUUGGGACUGAGACACGGCCCAAACUCCUACGGGAGGCAGCAGUGGGGAAUCUUGCGCAAUGGGCGAAAGCCUGACGCAGCCAUGCCGCGUGAAUGAUGAAGGUCUUAGGAUUGUAAAAUUCUUUCACCGGGGACGAUAAUGACGGUACCCGGAGAAGAAGCCCCGGCUAACUUCGUG
rnacentral:rRNA from 1 species